GCCGCAGAACCGCACUUGCGCAGUAGCGCGUGGGAGGCGGCGGAGCUGCUCAGCGUGGUUUAUUCGGGUAGUCAGGGCUGCGGCGAGAAGAGAGCGGAACCGAAUUUCCGCAGGGGUUAAAGUUACUGGGGCGGGGGGUGGGGGGGUCCAGUAAGGAUUUAAAAUAAUGAUCAGCCUUCGGAAGGCCCCAGCGAGAUUUGAACUCGCGACCCCUGGUUUACAAGACCAGUGCUCUAACCCCUGAGCUAUAGGGCCUUGCGAGCAGUCGCUUUGGUUCUUUCUUUGAAAAGAGAAGUUUUUAUCCUGGGCCUUUGUUAGAGGAAUUAAGUGUAGGAAAUAGACAAAAGCUGAACUUCGUUUCGAUUGGAAUUUGGUCUGCGGGCUCUUGCUAGGGAUAACGGAAUAUGAGGGCCAGUGAUAACAGCCACCUCUAUUUUAAGAUUGGAGAAAUCUGCCUAACCCAGCACAUUGUAACACAGCCACGUCCCGCCGCCCCCCGGCCGCAGUCUGAAAAUUAAGAAGAGAAAUGCGGCGUAAAGGAAGUUGACUACCGCAGGUCUCUCAGCUGAAAACUGGGCCUUGCCACUAAUUUUCUCCUUGACUCAGGAUAGCCACCGACUUUCAACCUCCUUCCUCAAGUUCCUUACGUAUAGGGACCUUUCUUACAGUUCGAGUCUCCGCCAGAACAAGCUUUUGUUAAUUCGUUAUUUAAUUCAACUCCCAAUUCUGUGCUGGGCUGUGCACUAGGAAUAAGGCUACAAAGUUAGCCUACAGAGCUACAAGGUGCAUGGAAACCGAAGUUUGGUGGGCCCUAAGACAAAACGCUAAAGUAUGGAGAACCGAGGUGUGGCUACUCUUCCCUGGAUCAAGAGGAGAGCAGGUAAAGGCGUCUCCAGCCGUCUCCUUCCCCAGUCGCCAGUAGUUAACAGCAGCCACGCGGCUACAACUGCUCAGGGGAAAGGGGACCUCUCGCGAGACGAAGAGUUAUAGGUUCUAAGGAAAGGUACCGAAGGCUUCCCAGCCGCAGGAAUCCAGCCACUCUGAAGCAGAAUUGGGGGAGGAAGCCUUUGCAGACCCUGCUCCGCCAAGACGAGGAAGCGUGCAUAGACUGGCACCGCCUCUCUGCGCUCGGGUCUCAAGGAGCAAAAGGGAGCUAGGAGUCAAGCUUUGUUCUUGGUCCUUUUAACUCACGUUCCACGCUUCCUGGAGGCUUCAAUACUUCUUUUCUGGCUUCAGAACUGAAAAGUAUCAAACUCAAAAUCUAGCAAAGACUGCAGCGUUGGUCUUCUUUACACCACCAGCACCACCCUUUACCCCCUAACCCCAACCCCAAAGCGGUCUGAAGUCAAAAAGAAUUCAUUCCUCCGUUCAGUAAAUACUUUUUGAGCGCUCACUGGGGGCCAGGAGGAAGCUGACGCGACCCCUGUCUUCGGAGGGCUCUUACGCUCUAGAUCCCAAGAGCUUCGCUUCCGGAGCGGAUGGUUUGUUUCAAAGAUCUUUCCCUUCGGUUUCUGGAGUGAGAAGAGCUGUUCCGCGGGUGGGCGGAUGC
ensembl:lncRNA